rnacentral:misc_RNA from 1 species
AUAAUUUUGCACUUCCUUCAAUGAGAGUAUGAGACGAGUUUUUUUUUUCUUUUUUCUUUAAGCGAAGGGGUGAUGCAUUGUUUUGAGUGUGCCUUACGCUUUUUAACUACCCUAUUUAUAGAACAAAGGCAUCCAAGCCCCAAAUGAAGGUUUAUGGGACCAUGACAUCCUUAUAUGAGUAUCCCUUAUAGAUUAUAAAUUUUUCUUAGAGAAGGAAAAAUCAAGAACUAAAUUUAAGGCCUUGAAGCGAUCUUAGACUUUAUUUUGAUUGUACGUGAACCUAAUGUUCUUUUAUUGGUCAUCAGCUACACAUGUAAAAGACAAGACGAUUGCCGACUCUUAUGAGCAUAGAAUGUCUAACUCACAUAUGUGAUAAAGCUGAAAUGCAUAAUGCAUCUGCAAUGAGAGUUAAAAAAAAAUGAUUUAACAAUUCAAAUGAUGAAAUAAAAUCAAUAUAAAUCAUACAUUAGAACUAAAAAUGCAACUUUUUUUUAGGUAAAAGACACUCCUUGGUAAAGGCAGAAUUUUGAUCUCAAGUUUCUAAUAUAGUUCCAAGUAAUCAAUUUGGUUAAUACAGCAGACAUGUUUGGCUAGUAAUAUAUGAAUACUAUCAAUUUUAAUUCCAUCUUUACCUCUGUUGCAAGAAGAGAGUUCA